UUUGAUUUGACCCGAUGACCUAGUUUUUGACCCCAGAUAACCCAAUAUCGAACUCGUCCAAGAUUUUAUUGAGGGUAACAUUCUGACCAAGUUUCAUUAAGAUUGGGCCAAAAAUGUGACCUCUCGAGUGUUAACAAGCUUUUCCUUUGAUUUAACUUGAUGACCUAGUUUUUGAUCCCAGAUGACCCAAUAUCGAACUCGUCCAAGAUUUUAUUGAGGGUAACAUUCUGACCAAGUUUCAUUAAGAUUGGGCCAAAAAUGUGACCUCUAGAGUGUUAACAAGCUUUUCCUUUGAUUUGACCUGAUGACCUAGUUUUUGAUCCCAGAUGACCCAAUAUCGAACUCGUCCAAGAUUUUAUUGAGGGUAACAUUCUGACCAAGUUUCAUUAAGAUUGGGCCAAAAAUGUGACCUCUAGAGUGUUAACAGUCAAAUUGUUGACGACGGACGACAGGGCGAUCACUAAAGCUCACCUUUGAGCACUUCGUGCUCAGGUGAGCUAAAAAUUGAUUUAAGCCAUUGUUGAUGUGCUUACUCAAUAAUUGCUAUUUUAUCGUACUUACAUUUUUAUAUUAAUUCAGAAAUGAUUUCUUACAGACUUGUCAUAGAUUUGAUUUUUUGUUUUUAUUUCAGUUCAGUUAUUCAUUAUAGGUAAUAAACAAACAAACAAACACAUAGGAAUUAUCUUUUGUUCAACAUUUACUGACCGCAAGUGGCAUAUUUUUUUUAGGUUCGUAACACAUAUUGUCCUGCUUAAUAUAGGAGAUAGAAUUAAGCCUAGGGUAAUAAUCUCUUGAAUGUUGGCUUUCAUACUUUUUAUGCAGAAUAGAUGGUCAUUAAAAGUAGUAACAAGAAGAUGGAAAAUUGUACCAUAACCUGUAUAACUCUAAGAAACAAUAACAGAGGACAUGACUGAGGCUUAACAUAUGCUUAACAGAAUUGCCUCUUGAAAGGUAACUGCUAAAUACAUUACACUUAGCUUUAUCACUUAUAAGUGAUUGUGAAAUGAACAUCUUUACAGGCUUCAAGUCGACCAAUUACAGAGAUUGAAGGUCUGAGAAAAGAAAACACUCGCUUGGAGGCAAUGGUUUUGCAACUAGAAACAGAAGUACGAAGCUUGAAGUCACAGCUGUGUGAAGCAAGAAGGCCUGAAAGGAUUGAUCAUCCCGCAGCUUCAGCGACCAGCUCAUCCAUUUAUACAGCAAGCCGAGGGCUCGCGCUGGCAUUCGCCAAUUGAGCCAUUGGCUCAAGAAAAUGAAAACUGGCUCAAGAAAAUUCCGAUAGGUGAAAAUCGUCAAAAAGUAUGACUUUGGACUUUUGUGGAAACCCCUCCUACUAAAAAUAGACCAAACUGGCAGUUUGCGACCUCACUUUGAAAUAUCGCAUGACUGGUUUUCUAAUACAUUGCCGAAGGCGCUCCUGCGAGUGAUAAUUGUUGGGCACAGUUUACUUGAUUGUGUUUAUCUAGAAGUGGGUCAUGUGGUUGCAAUUUGUCAGCUGUGUGGCAAUUAAAAGGAUGACACCUUCGUCAAUUGACUAUGAUUGCGGAUAAUUGUUAAACAAACAGCGGUCGAAUCUAAUGAAGAUCACAGGCGAUGAGAUUAUCAAGUAGUUUGAUUUGGACAGGGUUGCAAAACAAAAUCAAAGGAACCGUUGGUGGUUGACAUAUGUAUCUUUUGAAGGGGGCUCAUAUUUCGCUAUGUAUUUUUCAUUUUGGACAUAUUUAAGAUGAAAACAGGGUUUUAUAUCAGUCUGGUCAUAUUUUCUGUCCCAGGUCCGAUACUCAUGCCUGUGGUCUUUAAAUAAUUUCGGUAAUAGACUUAUGUUUUGUAUGUGUGUGUGUGUUCGGGUUUAACGUCUUUUUCAACAAUUUUUCAGUUGUAAAUAUCAAAGGUUUAUUUUAAAAAUCUAAUGAUCUGUAAAAUUGUUUUUGUGUAUGUAUCUUUAGAUAAAACAAUUUACAUGAUUUUCUUUCAUGUAGUCUCACUUGUAGCGUAUAGUUGAACAGUUGACAUGAGAUUACCAGAAUUCACAACCAGAACAUGUUUUCAUAAGCCUGGGAAUGGAACAGGGAGUCGCACAGAUUAAUGACCUUAGAGUGGAUGCCCACACUAUAUACGAACACCACAGUAGCAUCUGUUGAUGGUCCACCUCUUGCUGACUUGCCCUAAAAGGGAGCUUUCAAAGCCUGGGCUUCCGCAAGGAGUAGAAGAAUUUUGAUGUGAAUUGUAAGGAUCUGUUUUCUGACGACUUUCAGAUUCUUCUCAUCAUGGUACUGCAAAUGCCUAUAAACUAUGUACUGUAAUAACAAUCUUUGUAUCAAAGUUCAUGUUUUCAAUUUAUGCAGUUGUUAUGUUUUUGUGUGUCAUGUAAAUCAGUUUUCCUUUGUUUAUUAUAUAUUUAUGAACUUAAUGUUUUGUAGUGUGUGUCGUGUAUCCUUUAGAUAGUACAGCUUUUGAAAGGAUCUAAAUUUAAUGUUUACCUACAUAAAGAUGGGCUCAAAACUCAUUUAACAUUAAAGCCAGUUAAAUCACCAAGGUCUAAACAAAAGAAGAACCAUGAUAAACUGAUGGGAGAAGAACUGCAACAUACCUAUUAUCAGUCUUCUUUUCAAAGGAGCAGCUUGCAAGCAACAGCCUAACAAAUUCUGACAUGGCACUCUAUCCACCACUGAACAAACAUGUAGCCGAUGUGUAAAAAUUUCUCCUUUACUGUACUUCCUUUAUUUAAAAGAAGGUAUUUAGUCUAAUAGUUUCCUAACAACAGCUUUUGGAAAACAUGAGUUAUAACACAACCUCUUUAACAAAAAGUAUCCGAGUUCCAUGAUGAUAAACUGUAGUGAUGACGUCUCUCUCACUAUCAAGGUCAAGAUUGACAGGCCAACAAUCAACAAGCACAGCAGGGAGUCCAGUUGGGUGUCUGUUUGCAUCUAAAAGGUCAGAGUAUAAUGUCACAUCAAAAGUAAGAAAAAGUAUAACUAAAUCACCAACAAAUUUUGUGAAAGUUGUGGAUAAUUUGAUGUCCAAAGAAUCAGCAAGGAAAGAGGAAACUUUUAAACAACUGAACAUUUCAAAGUCAACUAAAAGAGUGCCAUCUGCCAGAAAGGUAUUAGCUCUUAAACAGUUGUUGAAAAGUUCAAAAUCCUCUGUCAUACUCGCUGAACAUUUAGUAAAAAGAAACAUCAAAUACAGAACAGUGAACUGCAUAGAUCAUCAAAAAUGACUUUGGCAAUUCAGUAAAACAAUUUUUGAUUUAUACUUUUAUUAAUGUUGAUCUCAGAAGCAGUAAUGCCAGUAUCCUUGGGUGCAGAAUACAAUACAUUGGUUCCCAAAAGCUUAAUUCCUUCAGAAGAAUAAAGCCAAAGGACAUCUGUAUUUUAGAUCUUUUCAUAUACCAAAAAAGCUCAAGAAGACACAGAGUUCAAAUACACCAGAUACAAAUGUAUAUGAAAAAUCCCAGGUCAGACACUACCAUUUACAUUACCAAUCAAUUACAACAUGAACUUAACUUAUUACAACAAUAGGAAAGUAAAUGGGACAUGCACUUGAAUUCCAGUAAAUGCCAGAUCCUUAACACUGCAUGAAACAAACACAAAAUAAAACCCAGAUCUGAUCCUUGAAACUAAUGAGAAAAUAAAGAGAGAAACAUUCUUACCAAGUUUCAUCAAAAUUAGACAACAAUUAUGAUUGCUAGUGUUGACAGUAGAACUGCUGAUGACACAUAAUGACGGACGUAAGGGUAUCACAACAGCUGACCUACCCGCAAAGUCACCUUGACAACUUUGUGCUUAGGUGUGCUAAAAAGUUUAAAAAACUUCCGUUAGGCUUUAAGCAGAAUAUUUCUCCUCGGUCUAGUCUCCCUAUACUCAUUUUAAUAUCAAUUUAAAACAAAUAAUGGAAGGGGAAUUAGCCAUAACCUGUGACAGUGCAGUCUCUCAUGAUGUGCAAAAUUCUCUUAGUUAAAAACCUUUGAAGAACAACAAAUGAUGCUAAAUUAUAGAUGAUUUCCUCUACUAGCUAUCCCGUAUCAUCUUCCAUUUUGAAAGACCCAGUACACUGACUCAUAACACAUUAGACUCAAAACUGUAGACAAAGCUAUCCCGUAAAGACCCAGUACACUGACUCAUAACACAUAAGACUCAAAACUGUAGACAAAGCUAAAAUGUAUCAUCUUACAUUUUGAAAGACCCAGUAUAAUGACUCAUAACACGUAAGACUCAAAACUGUAAACUCUUACAGUUGCAAAUAACUAAAUUUUCAUUUUUUUUCUGAUUGCCCUUAUUCUCUAAAACAACUUGCUGUCCAAAAAAAAUGGUUAUUCUGCCCAAACUUGAACCCUUAAAGCAAUCACAAUGCCAAAAUAUACACAACCAGUAGCAGCACAGUGCAUUUUAACCUAACUUAUAACUCUUACCUGUAUUUCUCCUUCCGAUGUGUUACUUUUAAUACUUUGGUAAAAAUAUUUUUUUCUUACAAUGACUGUGAGCCUGUUUAAAAUACUUGAAAGGGGAGCUGAACAGUAUCAGAAGUUAGAUAGAUGUGAUCUAAACAACCUAAAAACAUAAAUCCGCGCAGUCUGGUCAGGCUCCAUGCUGUUCGCUUUUAAAGCCUAUUGGAAUUGGAGAAACUAUUAGCGAACAGCAUGGAUCCUGACCAGACUGCGCGGAUGCGCAGGCUAGUCUGGAUCCAUGUUGGUCGCAAAGCCACUAUGUUGGUUUUCUCAUGGCACGGCUAUAAUCACUGUAAAAAUUCAUCUGGUAUUCAAGCAUUCUUUCACUAUUUCUUUCUUGAUAUGAAUUUCAGAUUUUUAGCACUGAAGUGUAGAUUUAGGCUACAUGAUUACAUGGGGGUAUUAUUUACAUGAAGAAGGUUCCGCAUGUAACUGUCACAUGAUAAGUACCUCACAUCAUUCAUAUGUGGACAAACAUAGUCAAAUAAUAUUCAUAUGAAAACAGCCACAUAUAAUCAUAUAACCAUCCUGUAAGAACUAAAUGAAAGUACAUUCAUGUGAUUAAUAUAUAGUAAUCAGAUUAUGUAAAUUUUAUUACUCGAUUCUCAAUUAAGAUACUCGUGCUAGAGGUUUUACAUGAGUAUGACAUUUUGCUAUUUCUUGAAAAGAAUUACAUAUGAGGUUGUAUGUAUUUAUCAUGUAAUAACUACAUGUGGAGGUUUGCUUGUGUACAAUUUAACUUCUAUUAAUGACACCUAUGUAGAUAAAACACCUUUCUAAAUGGGCAGAUAUUUUUCAAGUUAUAAAAUUAAUCUCUCAAAAGCAAUAACCUCUAUGACACUAACAUAUUUAAGUGUUCCCAGUUGGCCAGUACAAUAACACUAUAAUGUGGACCAUAUCAAACCUGAACGUGUACUUAAACUUCUUAGCUGAGCAUUU